rnacentral:misc_RNA from 1 species
CCGAGUUAGGGUCCUCUAAGGCCCGACCUCCCAACCCUUUGUCAAAAUACCACUUGUUGCUUCGGCGGGCCCGUCCUACACGGACCGCCGGCGGACUGUCGAGAGACGUCCUCUGGCCCGCGCCCGCCGACAGCCCCCUUUCUAAACCUGAACAAAACAUGUUAUAAUCUGAAUAAACAAACAAAUAAAGCAA